UACGGAGGGGGCUAGCGUUGUUCGGAAUUACUGGGCGUAAAGCGCGCGUAGGCGGACCUGCAAGUCGGGGGUGAAAGCCCGAGGCUCAACCUCGGAACUGCCUUCGAUACUGCGGGUCUCGAGUCCGGGAGAGGUGAGUGGAAUUCCUAGUGUAGAGGUGAAAUUCGUAGAUAUUAGGAAGAACACCAGUGGCGAAGGCGGCUCACUGGCCCGGUACUGACGCUGAGGUGCGAAAGGCGUGGGGAGCAAACAGG
rnacentral:rRNA from 1 species